CUCCAGUCCCCAGUCCCCAGCCCCCAGCCCCCAACUCAAGGAGCAGAAUGAGCCAACAGUUGAACGAGUCCUCGUGAGCCCGGCACACUCAGGGAUGAACGUCUGACGUCCAGGCAGCUGGCUGGGGGCGAAGCCCGUCUGCUCCCUACGGACGCCUGUGCUCCCUCAUUCGGGCAAGAGCAAGCAGGUGGGGGAGGAAGGCAGGCCUCAGGCGGAAGCUCCAGCGCAAGUGUGGGCACUAGAGUCAAAGGCGAUGUCAAGUAGGGGGACCCAUCGAAGCUGGUGGGAGAUCUGAGCAUCCCUGGGGUUAGUGCACAGGGCCCAGGACACCCAGAGCUCACAGGGAGACGCAGACCCAAGGACCGAGACACCAGGGUCGAGGUGCUGGAUGGACAGAACCUUGAGCAUGUCAGCAGGGGACACAGCCAGUGAAGGAAUCCGAAGCAGGAGGGCAGUUAACAGACGACACCAAGAGGCACCAGGGCCACCAGGCCUGAAAGACACAAGGCGAUAAAUACUCCGUGCCUCUUAAAAAACGUGUCCCUGCCUGAGUUCUUAUGAGUUCACAGCAGUGAACUAUAGUGGCAGACAGAGCUACGUCCUGUGUUCUAGAAAAUACUCCAGGAUACGAAAAAGGCUACUGUUGGUGGAGAAUGUGAGCCACAUCCUCAUGACAAGACGUCAGCCAAGGCCUCCCUUUUAUACUCAGGGAGGCAAAUCAGGUUCCACACUCAGCGUGGAGCCUAGUGCAUGGCUUAAACUCACUACCUUGAAAUCAAGACCUGAGCUAACAUCAAGAGUUGGACGUCCAACUGACUGGGCCACCCAGGUCUGUCUGUUGAUUCACCCAAGCUAACAACAUUGAGACCAGCGCACACCUGCUUCCUUCUGGGAGUCUGGAAUUUCGGCAAGCGCCAGGCAGAGGGCACCUACCCGGCCAGCCCCCAAAAGCGGUGGGCACAGAGUCUCUACUGAGCCUCCUGGUCGACAGUGCUGUACCCAAGGGGUCAUAACUCAAUGCGGAGGAAUGGAGCCCCUCCUGUGGGUCUCUCCACAGGGCAAAGAUGCACAGGAGCUCACAUUGAUUUCCUGCGGCCUCUGUGCCUUUCCUUCCACCAAUGCUGUUUGUGUCCUUUCACUGCAAUAAAUCGUGGCC